rnacentral:rRNA from 1 species
AGAGUUUGAUCCUGGCUCAGAUUGAACGMUGGCGGAAUGCUUUACACAUGCAAGUCGAACGGCAGCACGGGAGCUUGCUCCUGGUGGCGAGUGGCGAACGGGUGAGUAACRCGUCGGAACGUACCGAGUAAUGGGGGAUAACGCAGCGAAAGUUGUGCUAAUACCGCWUACGCCCUGAGGGGGAAAGUGGGGGAUCGCAAGACCUCACGUUAUUCGAGCGGCCGACGUCKGAUUAGYUUGUUGGUGGGGUAAUGGCCUACCAAGGCGACGAUCAGUAGCGGGUCUGAGAGGAUGAUCCGCCMCACKGGAACUGAGACACGGUCCAGACUCCUACGGGAGGCAGCAGUGGGGAAUUUUGGACAAUGGGGGCAACCCUGAUCCAGCCAUUCCGCGUGAGUGAAGAAGGCCUUCGGGUUGUAAAGCUCUUUCAGCCGGAACGAAACGGUAUGUCUUAAUACGAUGUGCUAAUGACGGUACCGGCARAAGAAGCACCGGCUAAYUACGUGCCAGCAGCCGCGGUAAUAC